AGAGUUUGAUCCUGGCUCAGGACGAACGCUGGCGGCGUGCUUAACACAUGCAAGUCGAACGAAGAGCGAUGGAAGCUUGCUUCUAUCAAUCUUAGUGGCGAACGGGUGAGUAACGCGUAAUCAACCUGCCCUUCAGAGGGGGACAACAGUUGGAAACGACUGCUAAUACCGCAUACGAUCUAACCUCGGCAUCGAGGAUGGAUGAAAGGUGGCCUCUAUUUAUAAGCUAUCACUGAAGGAGGGGAUUGCGUCUGAUUAGCUAGUUGGAGGGGUAACGGCCCACCAAGGCGAUGAUCAGUAGCCGGUCUGAGAGGAUGAACGGCCACAUUGGGACUGAGACACGGCCCAGACUCCUACGGGAGGCAGCAGUGGGGAAUCUUCCGCAAUGGACGAAAGUCUGACGGAGCAACGCCGCGUGAGUGAUGACGGCCUUCGGGUUGUAAAGCUCUGUUAAUCGGGACGAAAGGCCUUCUUGCGAAUAGUUAGAAGGAUUGACGGUACCGGAAUAGAAAGCCACGGCUAACUACGUGCCAGCAGCCGCGGU
rnacentral:rRNA from 1 species